rnacentral:tRNA from 1 species
UCCCUGGUAGCUCAGACGGUAAAGCGUCUGCCUGCAAUGCAGGAGACCUGGGUUCAAUCCUUGGGUGAGGAA